GCCCCGGUAGCUCAGUGGUAGUUCCUAUGGGCGGUAAGCUAAAGCGCCUACGAAGAGGUCGCAGGUUCGAAUCCUGCUCAGAGGCU